CAGUCGCCGCGGGAAUACGUAGGUGGCAAGCGUUGUCCGGAAUUAUUGGGCGUAAAGGGCUCGCAGGCGGUUUCUUAAGUCUGAUGUGAAAGCCCCCGGCUCAACCGGGGAGGGUCAUUGGAAACUGGGAAACUUGAGUGCAGAAGAGGAGAGUGGAAUUCCACGUGUAGCGGUGAAAUGCGUAGGGAUGUGGAGGAACACCAGUGGCGAAGGCGACUCUCUGGUCUGUAACUGACGCUGAGGAGCGAAAGCGUGGGGAGCGAACAGGAUUAGAUACCCCUGUAGUCCCUGUCUCUUAUAC
rnacentral:rRNA from 1 species